rnacentral:rRNA from 1 species
AUACGUAGGUGGCAAGCGUUGUCCGGAAUUAUUGGGCGUAAAGCGCGCGCAGGCGGCUAUGUAAGUCUGGUGUUAAAGCCCGGGGCUCAACCCCGGUUCGCAUCGGAAACUGUGUAGCUUGAGUGCAGAAGAGGAAAGCGGUAUUCCACGUGUAGCGGUGAAAUGCGUAGAGAUGUGGAGGAACACCAGUGGCGAAGGCGGCUUUCUGGUCUGUAACUGACGCUGAGGCGCGAAAGCGUGGGGAGCAAACAGGAUUAGAUACCCUGGUAGUCCACGCCGUAAACGAUGAGUGCUAGGUGUUGGGGGGUUCAAUACCCUCAGUGCCGCAGCUAACGCAAUAAGCACUCCGCCUGGGGAGUACGCUCGCAAGAGUGAA